GACGAACGCUGGCGGCGUGCCUAAUACAUGCAAGUCGAACGCAUUUUCUUUCACCGUAGCUUGCUACACCGAAAGAAAAUGAGUGGCGAACGGGUGAGUAACACGUGGGUAACCUGCCCAUCAGCGGGGGAUAAUACUUGGAAACAGGUGCUAAUACCGCAUAAUUCCAUUUACUGCAUGGUAGAUGGAUGAAAGGCGCUUUUGCGUCACUGAUGGAUGGACCCGCGGUGCAUUAGCUAGUUGGUGGGGUAACGGCCUACCAAGGCUGCGAUGCAUAGCCGACCUGAGAGGGUGAUCGGCCACACUGGGACUGAGACACGGCCCAGACUCCUACGGGAGGCAGCAGUAGGGAAUCUUCGGCAAUGGACGCAAGUCUGACCGAGCAACGCCGCGUGAGUGAAGAAGGUUUUCGGAUCGUAAAACUCUGUUGUUAGAAAAGAACAAGGAUGAGAGUGGAAAGUUCAUCCCUUGACGGUAUCUAACCAGAAAGCCACGGCUAACUACGUG
rnacentral:rRNA from 1 species